CUACGUGCCAGCAGCCGCGGUAAUACGUAGGGCGCGAGCGUUGUCCGGAAUUAUUGGGCGUAAAGAGCUUGUAGGCGGUUUGUCGCGUCAGCUGUGAAAGGCCGGGGCUUAACCCCGUGUAUUGCAGUGGGUACGGGCAGACUAGAGUGCAGUAGGGGAGACUGGAAUUCCUGGUGUAGCGGUGGAAUGCGCAGAUAUCAGGAGGAACACCGAUGGCGAAGGCAGGUCUCUGGGCUGUAACUGACGCUGAGAAGCGAAAGCAUGGGGAGCGAACAGGAUUAGAUACCCUGGUAGUCCAUGCCGUAAACGUUGGGCACUAGGUGUGGGGGACAUUCCACGUUUUCCGCGCCGUAGCUAACGCAUUAAGUGCCCCGCCUGGGGAGUACGGCCGCAAGGCUAAAACUCAAAGAAAUUGACGGGGGCCCGCACAAGCGGCGGAGCAUGCGGAUUAAUUCGAUGCAACGCGAAGAACCUUACCAAGGCUUGACAU
rnacentral:rRNA from 1 species